rnacentral:rRNA from 1 species
UGAGGAAUAUUGGUCAAUGGGCGCAAGCCUGAACCAGCCAUCCCGCGUGAAGGAAGAAUGCGCUACGCGUUGUAAACUUCUUUUCCAGGGGGAGAAUAAUCCUGUCGUGACAGGACUUGACGGUACUCUGGGAAUAAGCAUCGGCCAACUCCGUGCCAGCAGCCGCGGUAAUACGGAGGAUGCGAGCGUUAUCCGGAUUUAUUGGGUUUAAAGGGUGCGUAGGCGGAUUGAUAAGUCAGUGGUGAAAUUCUACAGCUUAACUGUAGACUUGCCGUUGAUACUGUUAGUCUUGAGUGUGGUCAAGGCAGGCGGAAUGUGUAAUGUAGCGGUGAAAUGCUUAGAUAUUACACAGAACACCGAUUGCGAAGGCAGCUUGCUGGGUCAUUACUGACGCUGAUGC